GAGGCCUUAGUUUAAGUAAAACAUUUGAGUUGCAAUCAGAAGAUGUGGUAAUGUACUACAGGUUUUA
rnacentral:tRNA from 1 species